rnacentral:rRNA from 1 species
CCCUUAGAUGUUCUGGGCUGCACGCGCGCUACACUGAUGUGUUCAUCGGGUUCGACCUUGCCCGGGAGGGUUGGGUAAUCCUUUCAAAACACAUCGUGAUGGGGAUAGAUUAUUGCAAUUAUUAAUCUUCAACGAGGAAUUCCUAGUAAGCGCGAGUCAUCAGCUCGUGCUGAUUACGUCCCUGCCCUUUGUACACACCGCCCGUCGCUCCUACCGAUUGGGUGAUCCGGUGAAUAAUUCGGACUGCAGCAGUGUCCAGUUCCUGGACGUUGCAGCGGAAAGUUUAGUGAACCUUAUCACUUAGAGGAAGGAGAAGUCGUAACA